UUGAAAGGGAAACGAUUGAAGUCAGUCGUACCUAUGGGUAAUCAGCCUUUUGGGUGUGAUUUUGUGGAGCGUGAGGAGUUAAACGCCUUCAUGCCUGCAUAUUCGUGCACUUUGGGUGUACUUGCCCGUGUGUAAGUUAACAUCAAUUUUGGUGGUCAUAAAAUGGCUGGAGGAAUGUAGCUUCGAUCUUGUAUUGAAGUGUUAUAGCCUUCGGUAGAUGUGACGAUCGGGAUUGAGGAUUGCAACGGAUACCCUUCGGGGCUACCUGUCUGAUCUCUGAUUGUUGCUCUGGUGCCGAAAGCUUGCUUACGGUUAUCAAGGUCGAUGGUCAUUAGGUUAGAAUGGGUUAAAUUCGUUAAG
rnacentral:rRNA from 1 species